AUUGAACGCUGGCGGCAUGCUUUACACAUGCAAGUCGAACGGUAACAGGUUAAGCUGACGAGUGGCGAACGGGUGAGUAAUGCAUCGGAACGUGCCCGAUCGUGGGGGAUAACGCAGCGAAAGCUGCGCUAAUACCGCAUACGAUCUGAGGAUGAAAGCGGGGGACCGUAAGGUCUCGCGCGAUCGGAGCGGCCGAUGUCAGAUUAGGUAGUUGGUGGGGUAAAGGCUCACCAAGCCGACGACCUGUAGCUGGUCUGAGAGGACGACCAGCCACACUGGGACUGAGACACGGCCCAGACUCCUACGGGAGGCAGCAGUGGGGAAUUUUGGACAAUGGGCGCAAGCCUGAUCCAGCAAUGCCGCGUGCAGGAAGAAGGCCUUCGGGUUGUAAACUGCUUUUGUACGGAGCGAAAAGGCUCUCUCUAAUACAGGGGGCUCAUGACGGUACCGUAAGAAUAAGCACCGGCUAACUACGUGCCAGCCGCCGCCGUAA
rnacentral:rRNA from 1 species